CCCCACCAGCUCCUGCUUCCGCUCUUCCAAGAUGGCCAACAGGCUGUCGAAAUGGAUGGCUAGCUGUUCCCUCUGCCGCUGACCGUUCUCCUGAGUGCGGCAGAUUUCUUCCAUCUGAGAGAUGACUGCCUGGACGUGGUCGUUGCUGGCGACCAAGAUAGCGAUGCCGUCGCUCAGAUGAGUGAAUCAGAGACAGAGUGAGAGAUGGAGAGACCGGCGCUGAAAUGUCAACAAAGCCAACUGCUCAAUAACAUGCUUGAUGCUGCUGCUGCCAUCUGCAUGACAAAACUGCUGCUUCCUUUGUCUUUGUGUGACUUUGUGUGUCGGCAAAUGAGCGAUAAAGGUUUCUUUGAUGCGAUAUAUUUGAUGUAUAAGUUAUUAAAACAAUAUCUGGUAUCACCGUAAAUGACCUUUUUAGAUGGCUAGAUAACCAGGUGUGUGUCCUGAUUUCAGUGGUUAAAUACAGUAUUCUUAUCUGUAUUUGCACUAAGUGGAACGUCAGUGUGCAUCUUGGUUUGCGGUUCUGAAAAGAGGAAAGUAAGAAAAAGAGAGAUUUUAAAAAUAGAAACCGAAAGAAUGUGAGAUAAAGGCCACCGUGCUUAUAAGAAGUCGCCCACAUGCACUUUUUGGAGACAUGUUAGAGUUUAGACUCUUUGGUGGACUUUGACCUUUAAACAAGCUCUAGCUUCCGUUAUAAAAAAAACCUCCUAAAUAAAACCUGCUUACUUCUUAUACAACAGCAACAAUGUAUAUAAAUUCAUAUUUGGUUUUGGUUUUGUUGCUUUGCUUUGCUUUGCUUGAAAGUGAAGUGAAGUGGAUUUGAGUGUAGUGAACCAGAGGGAAGGAUGGUCAAUUGAUUCUAACUUUGUGAGACAUCCAGUCUGGAACAUGAUGUAAGCACUGUUUGCCUGAACCGAUAAAGGUACAAGG